UCGUCACACUAUCAUUAACUGAAUCCAUAGGUUAAUGAGGCGAACCGGGGGAACUGAAACAUCUAAGUACCCCGAGGAAAAGAAAUCAACCGAGAUUCCCCCAGUAGCGGCGAGCGAACGGGGAGGAGCCCAGAGCCUGAAUCAGCAUGUGUGUUAGUGGAAGCGUCUGGAAAGGCGCGCGAUACAGGGUGACAGCCCCGUACACAAAAGCGCAUGUGCUGUGAGCUCGAUGAGUAGGGCGGGACACGUGGUAUCCUGUCUGAAUAUGGGGGGACCAUCCUCCAAGGCUAAAUACUCCUGACUGACCGAUAGUGAACCAGUACCGUGAGGGAAAGGCGAAAAGAACCCCGGCGAGGGGAGUGAAAAAGAACCUGAAACCGUGUACGUACAAGCAGUGGGAGCCCCACCACUAAGCCAGUGGUGAACUCCACAUACGCAUCCUUUGCUGAGGAUACGGUUAACGGAGCGCAAGCGACGUUCAACCGCAAAAGAAGCAGAGGGGGCUUAGUGGUGGGGUGACUGCGUACCUUUUGUAUAAUGGGUCAGCGACUUAUAUUCUGUAGCAAGGUUAACCGUAUAGGGGAGCCGGAGGGAAACCGAGUCUUAAUUGGGCGUUAAGUUGCAGGGUAUAGACCCGAAACCCGGUGAUCUAGCCAUGGGCAGGUUGAAGGUUGGGUAACACUAACUGGAGGACCGAACCGACUAAUGUUGAAAAAUUAGCGGAUGACCUGUGGCUGGGGGUGAAAGGCCAAUCAAACCGGGAGAUAGCUGGUUCUCCCCGAAAGCUAUUUAGGUAGCGCCUCGUGAAUUCAUCUCCGGGGGUAGAGCACUGUUUCGGCUAGGGGGCCAUCCCGGCUUACCAACCCGAUGCAAACUGCGAAUACCGGAGAAUGUUAUCACGGGAGACA
rnacentral:rRNA from 1 species